UGAGCAGCGGGAUGAUGUACCAAAAUUGUAAGAAAUUAACACUAAUGGGGUCCCACAAUCUACCUCAUAAGUUGUUGGCUCUAAUGUACCACACCUGAAAUGUUUACACUUAUGCAGGAAGCAUGAGGAACAAAAAGCAGGAGCUCAAGGCUUUGGCCCAGUCCCAGGGAUUUGACAUCGUUGCAUAAGUGAAACCUAUUGGGAUGAGUGAUGUGAUGAGUGCCCUGUUGGAUUGUUCCAGGCUCUUCAGGAACAAUAAGCGGAGUGGAAGAGGCAGAGGGGUGACACUGUAUGUAAUAGAAGGGUUAGAAUGCAUGGAGCUCACAGUUGGCAAUGGCACAGUUUAAAGUCUCUGGAUGAGAAUCAAGGGGUAAAAAAAUAAUGAGGAUGUCACUGUGGGAGUCUACUAUAGACCUCCCAGCCAUGACAAUGACAUAAAUUGUUCUUUGAGGAGCUAAGGGGCACUUCCAAGUCAACUGUCCUGUCCUUAAGGGCAUCUUCAACUUGCCAGAAAUUAAUGGAAACCAUCACAGAGCUGGUACAACCCAGGUCAGAAAAUUCCUAAAAAUCCAGGAUGACAAUUUUAUGGAACAGAUCCUGAGGGAUCUCACUAAGAAGGAAAAAUACCAGCAAAACCUCAGCUCAGAACAUAAGAAGACGUCAGGUUGCUCAAUGAAUUAGUGAGUAAGAGCCCCCAGGAAAAAGUUUUUGCAGUCUUUCUUUUUAGGAAAGGUGUUCCAGCCCCCUAUCAUUUCUAUGGCUAUCAUCUGGAUCAUCUCUAACAAGCACAUGUCUUUCCUAUGUUUGGGACUCUAGAAAUGGAUGAUGUACUUCAGAAGUUGUAGCAGUUUCUCAAAUACCUGAACAUGAGACUCCUGGCUGAACACUAGAACCUGUGCCUUAUUGCAGAUAAACAUCAUAUUACUACCAAAAUUAAAGUUCAGGUCAAACUGAGGAGAGACAGAAUGAUAGAAGGGUAAGUAUAACCAGCCAGUUUCUUCUGAGCACGAAAACAUAAGCAAUGAAUACAGCACUAAAAUUACAGACAAUUUAGUCAGAAAGUCUGUAGUCAAUGCUUGUCUAACAACAGUGAAUACAGAGAAAUAAAAUUG